rnacentral:rRNA from 1 species
UCUUAGUUCGGAUUGUAGGCUGCAACUCGCCUACAUGAAGUCGGAAUUGCUAGUAAUCGCGGAUCAGCAUGCCGCGGUGAAUACGUUCCCGGGCCUUGUACACACCGCCCGUCACACCAUGGGAGUCGGUAACACCCGAAGUCGGUGACCUAACUGAAAGGAAGGAGCCGCCGAAGGCAGGUCUGGUGACUGGGGUGAAGUCGUAACAAGGUACC